rnacentral:lncRNA from 1 species
CUGUGGCUAGGAGGGAUGCAAAAGGGGGAACAUGUCCUAUGGGCCAAGCUAGCUGCCCGGCCGCUGCCAAUGGCACUCAUGGUCGAGAUGGAGGCAGGGGAGGGGGAGGAGGAGGGGAAACCGCAGGGGAAGGGGAUGGGGAAGGAGGGGAAACACAAGGGGAGGUGAUGGCGGCGAUAGCAGGCAAGAAAGGAGGUGGGGCCGACCCGAGGAAAAAGAAAGAAGAAGCCAAGAAGC